GUUUGUGGCUCAGUGGUAGAGCACUUGCCUAGCGAGUGAGACCCUGGGUUUGAUCCUCAGCAUCACA
rnacentral:tRNA from 1 species